GCUACGGGUGUCAGCAGUGAGGAAUAUUGGUCAAUGGACGCAAGUCUGAACCAGCCAUGCCGCGUGCAGGCAGACGGCUCUAUGAGUUGUAAACUGCUUUUGUACGAGGGUAAACGCAGAUACGCGUAUCUGUCUGAAAGUAUCGUACGAAUAAGGAUCGGCUAACUCCGUGCCAGCAGCCGCGGUAAUACGGAGGAUGAGAGCGUUAUCCGGAUUUAUUGGGUUUAACGUGUUCGUAGGCGGAAUUCCAAGUCAGCGGUAAAAUCGCGGGGCUCAACCACGCUCCGCCGUUGAACCUGGCGUUAUUGAGUGGGCGUGAAGUAUGCGGAAUGCGUGGGGUAGCGGUGAAAUGCAUAGAUAUCACGCAGAACUCCGAUUGCGAAGGCAGCAUACCGGCGCCCAACUGACGCUGAGGCGCGAAAGCGUGGGGAGCAAACAGGAUUAGAUACCCUUGUAGUC
rnacentral:rRNA from 1 species